rnacentral:rRNA from 1 species
AUACGGAAGGCAGCAGUGGGGAAUAUUGGGCAAUGGGCGAAAGCCUGACCCAGCAACGCCGCGUGAAGGAAGAAGGUUUUCGGAUUGUAAACUUCUGUCCUCAGGGAAGAAAAAAAUGACGGUACCUGGGGAGGAAGCCCCGGCUAACUACGUGCCAGCAGCCGCGGUAAUACGUAGGGGGCGAGCGUUGUCCGGAAUGACUGGGCGUAAAGGGCGCGUAGACGGCUGUCUAAGUCUGGAGUGGAAGUCCUGCUUUCAAGGUGGGAAUUGCUUUGGAGACUGGAUGGCUUGAGUGCGGAAGAGGUAAGUGGAAUUCCCAGUGUAGCGGUGAAAUGCGUAGAGAUUGGGAAGAACACCAGUGGCGAAGGCGACUUACUGGGCCGUAACUGACGUUGAUGCGCGAAAGCGUGGGGAGCGAACAGGAUUAGAUACCCCUGUAGUCCG